rnacentral:rRNA from 1 species
CAGUAGCCGCGGGAACACGAAGGGGGCUAGCGUUGUUCGGAAUUACUGGGCGUAAAGCGCACGUAGGCGGAUAUUUAAGUCAGGGGUGAAAUCCCAGAGCUCAACUCCGGAACUGCCUUUGAUACUGGGUAUCUUGAGUAUGGAAGAGGUGAGUGGAAUUCCGAGUGUAGAGGUGAAAUUCGUAGAUAUUCGGAGGAACACCAGUGGCGAAGGCGGCUCACUGGUCCAUUACUGACGCUGAGGUGCGAAAGCGUGGGGAGCAAACAGGAUUAGAUACCCCCGUAGUCCCUGUCUCUUAUAC